ACAAACUUGGUCAUUUAGAGGAAGUAAAAGUCGUAACAAGGUCUCCGUUGGUGAACCAGCGGAGGGAUCAUUAAAGAGUUCUAUAACUCCCAAACCCAUGUGAACAUACCUUACGUUGCCUCGGCAGGUCGCGCCUCCGCAGUGGCUCCCCUUACCCGGGGGCCCGGGAGGGGACGCGGGAAGCCUGCCGGCGGCCCAACAAAUUCUGUCUAGUAUUGAAUUCUGAACAUAUAACUAAAUAAGUUAAAACUUUCAACAACGGAUCUCUUGGUUCUGGCAUCGAUGAAGAACGCAGC
rnacentral:misc_RNA from 1 species